rnacentral:tRNA from 1 species
GGAUAUAGCUCAGCUGUUCAGCACCUGCUUGGCAAGCAUGAGUUCCUGAGUUCGAUUCCCAGUACCA